rnacentral:ncRNA from 1 species
GAGGCGAGUCAUGACAGAUGUCACUAGGAAGAACUGCUUCUGCUCCAUAAACCAUAAAGAAUGGUGUGUAUCCUGUCGAUCUGUUGGGUGUGGUAUUGAUGCUCCACAACACAGAAGGUAACUCCUCAGCCCAACAACCCGGCGUCCGUUGCAAAGGAACCAUAAGCCGGGGUUUGAUGCCUCUCAAGAUCUCUUGAUUGGCCCUCUCCGCUUCGCCUAAGGAGGGGCUCGCGUCUGAUUAGCUAGUUGGUGAGGUAAUAGCUUACCAAGGCGAUGAUCAGUAGCUGGUCCGAGAGGAUGAUCAGCCACACUGGGACUGAGACACGGCCCAGACUCCUACGNCGAGAGGAUGAUCAGCCACACUGGGACUGAGACACGGCCCAGACUCCUACGGGAGGCAGCAGUGGGGAAUUUUCCGCAAUGGGCGAAAGCCUGACGGAGCAAUGCCGCGUGGAGGUGGAAGGCCUACGGGUCGUCAACUUCUUUUCUCGGAGAAGAAACAAUGACGGUAUCUGAGGAAUAAGCAUUGGCUAACUCUGUGACCAUUGGACUGGGGGUGAG